rnacentral:lncRNA from 1 species
ACCAAACACCACUGUUCCCCCAAAACCUAUUGAAAUAAAAAAUAAAUUUAAAAAUAAAGACUAGGCUGAACUUCAAAGAAGACUCUACCUAAGCCCAAGGAAGAUUAAAAAAAAAGACGCAAACAGAGUGCAACAUGAGAUUAGAUUUUCCGGAAUAUAAGAGAUGACCUAUUUGCCUUGACCUCACGUGCCCCUCUGCCCAGCUUCUGGAACUCCUGCGGUGGCUCAGAGUCAUAGCCCUCCUGUGACCCUCUCCUGAAAAGGUGUGCACAGAAGAGCAGGCCUAGAAGCUUCACAAGAGAAUGAGGCCCAACAACUCCUAAAAAUACCUAAUUCUCACCAGCAGAAGUCCUGUCCUUCAAGUUUUAAAUUCUAUAUGAAGACAGAGGAAAGGCUCUGCCUUCGCUGACAGGAUCCAGAGUAAGACUACAGCAGGACAAUUCACAGCACACCGCUGUCAGCCCACUGAGGGUGAUUCUACCCGAGGCUGCCCUGGCGACUCUGACAAUGUGGCCUGUGCCGCCAAGACCAUCUGCAUUCAGUCUACAUUCGCCAUGAGACCUCUCAUGCUCUUCCUCUAAUUCCACAUGGAAAGUGGUGAAGGGUCUGUUUAUUUACACCUGGGAAUGUCUGUGUCUUUGUAGAAUAAACUGAAGGCUAAGGCAACUCUUUGGAAGACCAUUCCACCUGGAAACCAACGAUCUAAUUUUGCUUCAAAACUUCCCUGUCUCUGUAGAGCUCACAGCGGUCUUCGCAACCACAUGCUACAAGCUUGUUCACCAUUCCCUUGAGGCUGCAUAAAUACAUUAUUCGCUUCUGAGCCCUGCCUCUCAGGGGUCUGCUUUUCUUCAGCCAAGUG